rnacentral:rRNA from 1 species
AUUGAACGCUGGCGGCAGGCUUAACACAUGCAAGUCGAGCGGAGAUGAGGUGCUUGCACCUUAUCUUAGCGGCGGACGGGUGAGUAAUGCUUAGGAAUCUGCCAAUUAGUGGGGGGCAACAUUCCGAAAGGAAUGCUAAUACCGCAUACGUCCUACGGGAGAAAGCAGGGGAUCUUCGGACCUUGCGCUAAUAGAUGAGCCUAAGUCGGAUUAGCUAGUUGGUGGGGUAAAGGCCUACCAAGGCGACGAUCUGUAGCGGGUCUGAGAGGAUGAUCCGCCACACUGGGACUGAGACACGGCCCAGACUCCUACGGGAGGCAGCAGUGGGGAAUAUUGGACAAUGGGGGGAACCCUGAUCCAGCCAUGCCGCGUGUGUGAAGAAGGCCUUAUGGUUGUAAAGCACUUUAAGCGAGGAGGAGGCUACUGAGACUUAUACUCUUGGAUAGUGGACGUUACUCGCAGAAUAAGCACCGGCUAACUCUGUGCCAGCCGCCGCAGUAAUAC